GGUCCCGCUGUGCCCCCCCCCUCCAUAGGAGCCCCGCCCCCUCCCAACGGCUCCGCCUACAGAGUUCAGAGAGGGGCGGGGCCUGCACCUCCACUUGGGAGCCCCCCCAUCUGUUCGUCCGAGGAGGACCAGGAGGAUGCCAGCACCGUAGAGGACCAGGGUAAAAACUGAGCUAAAGCUUUCAGGUUGAUCCAGCAGGGAGUUGUAUUGUUCCAUGUGGUGUUAUUCCUGUUUCAGCAGAGUACACAGAGGACUACAUCUACAUCACUCAAGAUCAGAACUACCAGACCUCAGGUGUUUACACUGCUGCUGAGCCCUCCAACAAGGACGAACAGGAAAGAGGAACUACUGAUUCGCCACCGAGACCAGAGA
ensembl:lncRNA